CAAGAGAUGGGAGGUCAGGAGUUUUAAAGGUUGCAAGGAAUGCAGCUGCUUGUAGGGAGGGGGAGCCUGUGGCCUUGCUAAGUGGAGUUUUCCUAGCAGCCUGUAUUUGGGCUGGUGAGUUUGCU
ensembl:miRNA